AAAAGGAAACUAAGGCUCAAGGAAGUGAAGUGAUUUACCCAAGAUCACAGUGUCUAAGGCAAGAUUUGAGCGCAGGACUUCCUGACUUCAGUGCUCCUAGAUCCAGUCAACUGUGUUACCUCGCUGCCCCUGAAAUCAAACACUAUGAACAUAUGUGCUGAAAAUUGUAUCUAUGUGCCAAGAAGAUGGGUAUAAGAAUGAGCACAAGAUCUGGGCAUGUGGAGGAGCCACCAGAUGCAAAGCUUGCCCCUGGCUGAUACAUAUGUUUUCGCUGACCCGUUCCACCUUCUGAGAAUCCCUGGAACCACAAGUGGGGCUGGACCCUGGCCUGUGGCAGAAAGAGGCAUCCAAAUGAUUUGAGAUGAGGAAGAGGGAAAAAGAAGAAGCUCCUGGGGUUGCUGAAGGCCCAGGAAUGUUUCUGAGCAACCCAGGAGAAGCCCUUACCGUAAGCUCUGCUGCUAAACAGACCGAGAUGUUUAGUUCUAGAACUAUAGGAUGUAAGCAGAAGGACCUUCAUCUACUCCAACCAAUUGCUACGGAAUCCAAUUUGAACACAGUGACUGGCCAGCCAAGGAAAAGUACAAGGUAGCAAUGAGGUUGGGAAGUUAGCCUGCCAUCCCCAGUUGGACUACCUGUCCUGGAAAAGAGAAUUUUAACUUCUAGGGAAACUAAUCAGAUACCACACUGACUUUUUUAGAGGUGAAAGGGGGAAUGGGGCAGGGGAAUGAAAAAUAAUACAGCAGAACUGAUCUCAACUCAACCAAUGGGGUCGGGUUGUUAAUGUGGUUUCCAGCAAACUGCUCAUAAAAUUCAUGGCAGCAGCUAAUUGCUACCAUGUUCUUCCUCACAUACUCCCAUAUUAAAUUUGAAAUGGGGAGAAAGGGAGGGGGGAGAGGAAAGGAGAGGAAAGACAGGGGAAGAGAGAGGGGAGGGAGGAGAGAGAGAGAGGAAGAAAGAGAGAGAGAUGGAGGGAGGGAGGAGAGGGAGGGAGGGGAAGAAGAGAGGGAGAGAGAGAGGGAAGAAGGGAGAAAAUGAGAGAAAAAUAAAGAAAGAGAGAGAGAGACA
rnacentral:lncRNA from 1 species